rnacentral:rRNA from 1 species
GACGAACGCUGGCGGCGUGCUUAACACAUGCAAGUCGAACGGAAAGGCCCUGCUUUUGUGGGGUGCUCGAGUGGCGAACGGGUGAGUAACACGUGAGUAACCUGCCCUUGACUUUGGGAUAACUUCAGGAAACUGGGGCUAAUACCGGAUAGGAGCUCCUGCUGCAUGGUGGGGGUUGGAAAGUUUCGGCGGUUGGGGAUGGACUCGCGGCUUAUCAGCUUGUUGGUGGGGUAGUGGCUUACCAAGGCUUUGACGGGUAGCCGGCCUGAGAGGGUGACCGGCCACAUUGGGACUGGGAUACGGCCCAGACGCCUACGGGAGGCAGCGGUGGGGAAUAUUGCACAAUGGGCGGAAGCCUGAUGCAGCAACGCCGCGUGCGGGAUGACGGCCUUCGGGUUAUAAACCGCUUUCGCCUGUGACGAAGCGUGAGUGACGGUAAUGGGUAAAGAAGCACCGGCUAACUACGUG